UUUUAGAGAGCUUUGUUAUCUCCUCUACUACAACUCUAUUAGAACUCUGGUUGAACAAUUAUCAGAAUAAUAUUCUGUUGUGUGUUCUGUUUUCAUUUUACAAAGCUCCAUUUCUUGCUCUCUAUUUCUGUUAUAGUACAAAAGCUCCCCUUCAUAGUCCCAUUUUUAUAUUACAAUAUAAUUCUCUAUAUAUUCAACUCUGCUUGUCAAAAAAAAAAAAAUUUUUGCUCCCUUUUGAUUUUGUUGUCAUCUAAGUGUUUCUUUUCUGUCUUCAUAUCCUCUGCAAAAUAGUAUUACUCUCUUUGUUCUAUUUUAAUUUGCAAAGCUUUGUUUCCUCAUUUCCAUUUUGAUUGUAGUAGAAAUCCCUUUUUGUUGUGUUCUAGUCUUUUACAUUUCAAGUUUCACUAUCCACAGAAGAAAAACGCGAGAGAAAUGGUCGUGAACUUUGUUCUUCCUGUAGUAAUGAAGAUUGGAGAAUAUCUGGUUGCUCCAGUUGGUCGCCAGUUUGGUUAUUUGAUUUUCUAUGACAGAAACAUUAAGAAUCUGGAGAAGCAGGUCCAAAAGCUGGAAGAUAAAAGAUUUGGAGUACAAAAAUCAGUUGAAGAAGCAGAGGCAAAGAGAGAAAUUAUUGCACCAGGUGUCGAGCGGUGGUUGAAAACAGUGAACGACCUCAACGAAGAGGCUAAGAAAUUCCUCGAGGUUGAAGUGAAAGCAAACAAAGGGUGUUUGAAUGGGUGGUGUCCAAAUUUGAAGUCACGUUAUUCCUUGAGCAGAAAAGCUACAAAGAAAACUCAAAGUGUGGAAGAGCUACGUGGAGAAGGAGUUUUCUCUACAGUGUCCUAUCCUACAGUUGCACCUUCUGUGGGGACAACAUUUGCAUUCACUGGAGGUUUUAAGGGGUUUGAAUCUAGAAGAUCGAUUAUGAAUGGAGUUAUGGAGGCACUGACAGAUGAUAGUAUCUAUGUGAUUGGGAUAUGUGGGAUGGGAGGGGUUGGUAAGACAACUAUGGUGAAAGAAGUUGCGAAGAAAGCGGAAGAAGAGAAAAUGUUCGAUAUUACUGUGAUGGUAGUAGUGUCCCAAAACCAAAACUUGAUUACUAUUCAAGACCAGAUAGCCAAAAUAUUGGAUUUACAAAAUUUUGGGGGAACCAAUUUACCUACUGGAGCAGGGCAGAUACGAUCAAAAAUAUUGAGCUUUGGAAGAGUCCUUGUAAUAUUAGAUGAUGUUUGGAAGAUACUCGAAUUGAAUGACAUAGGUAUUCCAAUUGGAGAUAAUCACAAGGGUUGCAAAAUUGUGAUGACUUCAAGAAGUGAAGAUGUAUGCAACAACAUGGACACACAGAAGAAUUUUGAAGUUGGUGUCUUACAUGAAGAAGAAGCAUGGAAUCUCUUCAAGGAGAUGGCUGGAAUUUCUGACGAAGGUACAAGUCAACCAACUAAUACACAGUUGACGCAGAUGGCAGUUGCGAAGGAAUGUGGAGGCUUGCCGAUUGCUAUUGUUACAGUCGGGAGGGCACUUAGAUGCAAAAGCAAGUAUGCAUGGGAUUCUGCUCUUGAACAAUUGCGAAAGUCUAUGGUCAAAAACAUCAGUGGAGUGAAUGAAAAUGUGUUUAAAUCUCUAGAGUUGAGUUAUGACAACCUUGAAAGUGAUGAAACCAAGAAAUGCUUUCUGCUCUGUUCUUUAUAUUCGGAAGAUUUUGAUAUUCCAAUUGAAGAUCUCGUUGGAUAUGCGAUUGGGAUAGAGUUGUUUAAGCGCUUUGAUAGUGUGCACCAAGCAAGAAACAGAGUACAUUCUGUAGUUGAUGACUUAAAAAAAUGCUAUCUAUUGAUGGAAACUAAAAAUGAAGAGUGUAUCAAAAUGCAUGAUGUCGUACGUGACGUGGCUAUAUCAAUUGCAUCUAGGGAGGAGCAUUCGUUUUUGGUGAGAUGUGAUGAAGUAUUGACAGAAUGGCCCCAGAAAAACCGACUCCAAAACAACACUGUAAUUUCAUUAAAAGUUAAUAGUGUGCAUUGCCUUCCUGGUGAUUUAGAAUUUCCAAAUCUCCAGCUUCUACAGCUGGAUUGCAAUGCCGGAUCACCACCAACCUCAUCACAUGGUCUUAACAAAGGGAUGGAGAAGGUCAAAGUACAAGAGACCCCAGAUAGUUUCUACCAAGGAAUGAAAGAACUUAAAGUGCUAGGUUUAUCCAAUAUGAACAGCUCAUUGCCGACAUCAUUUCGAUGCUUGACCAACCUCCGAACCUUGUCACUUUUUCGUUGCCGACUUAUUGAUGAUGGUAUCUCCGUUAUCGGAGCGUUAGAGAAACUGGAAAUUUUGAGGUUUGGCGGCUCUUAUAUCAAGGAAUUGCCAAAAGAAAUAAUAGGUCACCUCGCUCACUUAAAGGUACUUGAUUUGUUCGGAUGUACAGUGGAAAGGAUUUACCCAGGGAUUUUGUCAAGCUUAUCAAAGCUAGAAGAGUUGUAUGUUGGGUCUAGUUUUGAUAGUUUGUGUAAACAAAGCAAAGAAGGUGCUAAAGCAAUUAUCGAUGAGCUGGCGUCCUUGUCCAAUUUGGUGGCUUUGCAUAUUAAUCUAAUAGACAUUUCCUUCUGGCCGAGAGGUUUGGUCGUUGAAAAGUUCGACAUAACUGUUUGCACUUCGUCAUCACAUCACCUUUGCUAUCGGUUAUCAAAUCAGUUGAAUGUCCAACGUACAAUUGUGAAUGAUUACAUUAUUGAAUCGAGGCUAUAUUUGCUGUUGAAGAGAGCUGAAAUUCUGAAUUUAUUCGGAUGUCUAAUAAUAGGUUUUGAAAGUCUCUGUGAUUUGGUCGACGGAGAUGGUUUUGAAUGCUUAACGAAGUUGAGACUAGAUGACUUGUCUGAUUUGGAAUACCUCAUCAAUACAGCAGAUGGGGUUCCACAGAGUGCUUUCCCUGUGUUAGAGUUUCUGCAUCUUUGUUGUCUACCUAAUUUCAAAGGGAUUACUAGUCAUGAAUGCCGACUACCGAACAAGGCUUUCAGUGCAUUGAAAGUGUUGACACUAUAUUGGCUGUCUGAACUGACAAAUUUGUGGAAGGGUCCCACCCAACUUGUAUGGCUCGGCAACCUGACGACUGUAGAUGUGAUAUCUUGUGAUAAAUUGGAAAGUAUGUUCUCACUUUCCAUAGCUAGAGGUCUAGUGCAACUGCAGGACCUUCUGAUACGUACUUGUCAUGUGAUGGAAGAAAUUGUUUCGAGUGAAGGAGGAGAGCAUGAAAUAGAAGCAAUAGCAACAGAUAAAAUCGAGUUUCCUAAACUAAAGAAAUUGUGUCUUGGAACCCUGCCAAAUUUUACUGCUAUCUGCAAAGCUAUGAAUGCAAUUGAGCUGCCACAACUGAGUUCUUUGACACUGUCGAAUGUGCCAAAGCUGAAGCGUCUCUGGGCUGCUUCAGAUUUAGGGAGUAAUUGUGAUCCCAUCAUUCAACCCCUCUUCAACGACAAGGUUAAACUGACUACCAUUGAAAAAUUGGACAUCUUUGGAAUGGAGAAUUUGAUGGAGAUUUGGCCUGGGGAACUUCAAGAUAAACUAAGAGAGAUGAAAGUGUGCAGCUGUCAUGAGCUCUCAAAUAUUCUUUCCUCAUCCAAUUCAAUUAAGGGCAUGCAAAAUCUUGAACUACUUGAAGUAAGGGAUUGUCGAUCUAUUGGAGUAGCCUUUGACCGUGAAGGACUUGUUUGGGAAGGAGGCAUAUCAGAUAUGGCAUUCCCUUCAUUAAAAGAGGUGAAACUAAUCCAUCUGCCAAAGUUGACACAAGUUUGGAAGGACGAUUCACCAGGAAUUCAAGGCUUUCAAAAUCUAAGAUCCUUAAUAGUAAAUGAUUGUGACAGUUUGAGAAAUCUAUUCUCAUACUCUCUGGCCAAACUUCUUGUGAAACUACAAGAAAUAGAGAUAACUGAAUGUGGUAUGAUGGAAUCGAUCGUUGCAAAUGAACCAAAUGAAGAUGAUGCAGUGCUAACAAAUAUAAUCAUGUUUCCUCAACUGAGUAGUCUCAAACUCAAUGAUUUGCCAAACUUUAGGAGUUUCUGCUUUCAAGCUUGUACGUUUGAGGGAUCGUUGUUGAAAACAAUAGAAGUAAACAACUGUCCCAAAAUGAAGGUACUCCCAUCAGCAUUUCAGAGCAAGCUAGUGCAACAAAAGGCAGACUUUUCAACCUCAUCUCUACACCAUCUCUUGGAUGGAAAGCUUAUUUUCAGAGUCGACCAUAUAUUUGGCAACUAUCGAAAACUUACUAUCACAGACAUAAAUGGAUCAAUAGAGAUGUGGCAGAACCAACUUGAUGUUGGCCGCAUUGACAAAGUGACGUUCAUCUUGGUCCAAUUUUGCGGGAAAUUAUCAAGUGUGAUCUCGUUGAAUUUUGUGCGACAACUACGACUUCUACAACAGCUGAAGGUAUGGUGGUGUGAUUCACUGGAAACAAUAUUUGACCUCCAAGGGUCGGUAUGCGCUAGUACUAUUGGUGAGGAAAGAUCAGCAACGACUGUGUUAAAACAUAUGAAAUUGAUGUAUUUGCCCAAGUUGAUGCAUAUAUGGAUGAAUGUUUCUCAACACACUUGGGGUUUCACAAAUCUAAUUUCCCUAGAAGUGGAGAAGUGUGACAACCUGAGAUAUAUAUUCCCAAUUUCCAUGGUCAAGGGCCUUGUGUCUCUAAAAUAUCUAAGAAUUGAAAAUUGCGAGAAAGUAGAAAAGAUUGUCAUCGGGAAAGCAGAAGAAGAAAGGGGCAAAAUCAAUAUUUUGAGCGUGGAACUUCAAAAUCUUCCGAGUCUCGUGUGUAUUGGAAUUCCAGAAUCUCAAAUUCAUAUCUCCAAAUUGCAUGUAGAUUUCUGCCCCAAGUAUCGAGGCAGGUUAUGAUGGGGAAGGGGAGUAGUAUUUACCGUUAGCUGUGGUGGAUCGCCAAUCUCUUCACAGAAAAGGUAUGUUGUUCUUGAUAAAUAGGAGAUGGGAGGAUCUACUCAAUUUCUAUGAAGAUCAAAAAGCUGGAGAAGUAGAUAGCAGCGCUAUUUAUGCAAAAAUCGGCUAGAACUUUACUAGGUGUUCUUAUUUAUGAAAAACUGUUUAGUUGUUAUGAUUUCGUUUUAACUUUUGUCCGAACUUGAAAAAAAAAAAAACAAAACAAAACAAAAAAAAAAAAACCAAAACCAAAACCAAAACCAAAACAAAAACUAUAUAUUGUCCCAACCUGAAUAAUUUGUUUGCUAUUAUGUGGUAUUGCUAGGUUUGUAUUAGUGUGUCUUUUUGCGGUAUUGCUUGGUUGAUUGUGCUUUUUGUUUUGUGGUACAACUGAAUUAACUUUAUUAUUGGCCAUGUAAUAAUUUGUGUUUGAAUUUA